rnacentral:rRNA from 1 species
GAGUUUGAUCGUGGCUCAGAUUGAACGCUGGCGGCAGGCUUAACACAUGCAAGUCGAGCGGGGGAGAUUGCUUCGGUAAUUGACCUAGCGGCGGACGGGUGAGUAAUACUUAGGAAUCUGCCUAUUAAUGGGGGACAACAUCUCGAAAGGGAUGCUAAUACCGCAUACGCCCUACGGGGAAAGGCAGGGGAUCACUUGUGACCUUGCGUUAAUAGAUGAGCCUAAGUCGGAUUAGCUAGUUGGUGGGGUAAAGGCCUACCAAGGCGACGAUCUGUAGCGGGUCUGAGAGGAUGAUCCGCCACACUGGGACUGAGACACGGCCCAGACUCCUACGGGAGGCAGCAGUGGGGAAUAUUGGACAAUGGGGGGAACCCUGAUCCAGCCAUGCCGCGUGUGUGAAGAAGGCCUUAUGGUUGUAAAGCACUUUAAGCGAGGAGGAGGCUCCUGUAGUUAAUACCUACAGAGAGUGGACGUUACUCGCAGAAUAAGCACCGGCUAACUCUGUGCCAGCCGCCGCCGU